CCUACGGGGGACAGCAGUGAGGAAUAUUGGUCAAUGGGCGAGAGCCUGAACCAGCCAAGUCGCGUGAGGGAGUACUGCCCUAUGGGUUGUAAACCUCUUUUGUCGGGGAGCAAAAGCCGGACGUGUCCGGCUGUGAGAGUACCCGAAGAAAAAGCAUCGGCUAACUCCGUGCCAGCAGCCGCGGUAAUACGGAGGAUGCGAGCGUUAUCCGGAUUUAUUGGGGUUAAAGGGUGCGCAGGCGGAUUUUUAAGUCAGCGGUCAAAUCGUGGGGCUCAACCCCAUCCAGCCGUUGAAACUGGGGAUCUAGAGUGUGCGAGAGGUAUGCGGAAUGCGUGGGGUAGCGGUGAAAUGCAGAGAUAUCACGCAGAACCCCGAUUGCGAAGGCAGCAUACCGGUGCACAACUGACGCUCAGGCACGAAAGCGUGGGUAUCGAACAGGAUUAGAUACCCCAGUAGUC
rnacentral:rRNA from 1 species